AAACCAGACGAUUGCGUGCCCUUAAUAGGGUAUGAGGAAAGUCCGGGCUCCAUAGGGCAGGGAUGACGGAUAACGUCCGCCGUAGGUAACUAUAGGGAAAGUGCAACAGAAACAUUCCGCCGAAACGGGUAAUGCCGUGGUAAGGUUGAAAUAGUGAGGUAAGAGCUCACUGGCAUCAUGGAGACAUGGUGACCGUGUAAACCCCAUCCGGAGCAAGACUAAGUGGACAUUAAUGGGAGCGGCCCGUUCCCGUCCGAGGUGAGUCGCUUGAUGCUGCAAGCAAUUGCAGUACUAGAUGGAUAAUCGUCAAAUACAGAACCCGGCUUAUGGUUUGCC
rnacentral:RNase_P_RNA from 1 species